GAUGAAGAACGUAGCGAAAUGCGAUAAGUAAUGCGAAUUGCAGAAUUCAGUGAGUCAUCGAAUCUUUGAACGCACAUUGCGCCCUGUGGUAUUCCGCAGGGCAUGCCUGUUCGAGCGUCAUUUCAACCCUCAAGCUCUGCUUGGUGUUGGGCCCUGCCCGCUGCGGCCGGCCCUAAAGACAGUGGCGGUGCCGCCUGGCCCUGAGCGUAGUACAUCUCUCGCUCCAGUGCCCGGUGGUAGCCUCCCAGAACCCCAACUCUCGUGGUUGACCUCGGAUCAGGUAGGGAUACCCGCUGAACUUAAGCAUAUCAAUAAGCGGAGGA
rnacentral:misc_RNA from 1 species